rnacentral:rRNA from 1 species
GUCUAUGGCCAUACCACCUUGAACACGCCCGAUCUUUUCUGAUCUCGGAAGCUAAGUAAGGUCGGGCCUGGUUAGUACUUGGAUAGGAGAGAAAGUUUUUUGACCUCUGCUAUGUAGCUAUAAAAA